CAUAGGUUAAUGAGGCGAACCGGGGGAACUGAAACAUCUAAGUACCCCGAGGAAAAGAAAUCAACCGAGAUUCCCCCAGUAGCGGCGAGCGAACGGGGAGCAGCCCAGAGCCUGAAUCAGUGUGUGUGUUAGUGGAAGCGUCUGGAAAGGCGCGCGAUACAGGGUGACAGCCCCGUACACAAAAAUGCACAUGCUGUGAGCUCGAUGAGUAGGGCGGGACACGUGGUAUCCUGUCUGAAUAUGGGGGGACCAUCCUCCAAGGCUAAAUACUCCUGACUGACCGAUAGUGAACCAGUACCGUGAGGGAAAGGCGAAAAGAACCCCGGCGAGGGGAGUGAAAAAGAACCUGAAACCGUGUACGUACAAGCAGUGGGAGCACGCUUAGGCGUGUGACUGCGUACCUUUUGUAUAAUGGGUCAGCGACUUAUAUUCUGUAGCAAGGUUAACCGAAUAGGGGAGCCGAAGGGAAACCGAGUCUUAACUGGGCGUUAAGUUGCAGGGUAUAGACCCGAAACCCGGUGAUCUAGCCAUGGGCAGGUUGAAGGUUGGGUAACACUAACUGGAGGACCGAACCGACUAAUGUUGAAAAAUUAGCGGAUGACUUGUGGCUGGGGGUGAAAGGCCAAUCAAACCGGGAGAUAGCUGGUUCUCCCCGAAAGCUAUUUAGGUAGCGCCUCGUGAAUUCAUCUCCGGGGGUAGAGCACUGUUUCGGCAAGGGGGUCAUCCCGACUUACCAACCCGAUGCAAACUGCGAAUACCGGAGAAUGUUAUCACGGGAGACACACGGCGGGUGCUAACGUCCGUCGUGAAGAGGGAAACAACCCAGACCGCCAGCUAAGGUCCCAAAGUCAUGGUUAAGUGGGAAACGAUGUGGGAAGGCCCAGACAGCCAGGAUGUUGGCUUAGAAGCAGCCAUCAUUUAAAGAAAGCGUAAUAGCUCACUGGUCGAGUCGGCCUGCGCGGAAGAUGUAACGGGGCUAAACCAUGCACCGAAGCUGCGGCAGCGACGCUGAUGCGUUGUUGGGUAGGGGAGCGUUCUGUAAGCCUGUGAAGGUGUGCUGUGAGGCAUGCUGGAGGUAUCAGAAGUGCGAAUGCUGACAUAAGUAACGAUAAAGCGGGUG
rnacentral:rRNA from 1 species